GCGUCUAUGGUGUAGUGGUUAGCAUACUUGCCUUCCAAGCAAGUGACUCGGAUUCGAUUUCCGAUAGACGCA